rnacentral:misc_RNA from 1 species
GUUACCUGCAUCUCGAAGGCCUCCAUACAGCUCUGUGCAACAUGGUGCAGCUAUAUAUCAGCUAUUCAAACCAAGGAAAUUACAUUGUACGCUUAGAAGACACAGAUCAAACAGGACUCGUACCAGAUGCUGCCGGUAAACUCCAAGUGAAGCAAAGAGAAUCUUACUGCGUCAGUUUCAAAGUACAAGAAACAUGUUUGACUGGUGAUUCAACUCGGAGAGGAUAACUGGGUUCAUAAUAUCACCGAGUAUAUCUAUGGAGCAUAACUGUAGGUGCUACAGCAAGAUGAGAGGGAUUUUUUUAUUUCGAAUGCAAGGAUGUUCUAAUCGAAUGAUCGUAGACCAACCCAGAGAAAGAGACUCUGACGAUGAGGUUGUACUGAAGGGAGAAUUGCCACCGCUCCUUCAACUUGCAGAUUCGAUUCGCAAAAUCCUGAGUGGAGGAUGGUAAACCGAUUUCUGUGCGCUAUUUAUCCGGUAUCAGCACUUUCUGACGAGCAUCUCCUUACUUAGAACAGGAAGUGUGCUUACACCUGCAAGUUUAAAAAUUGCAAAAUAAUUAUCAUACACAUGCAUAGCGUCGAAUAGUUGAUGUAUGCGAAUAAGUCUUCAUGUAAUGUAUUCAUAAGUUCUAUUCAUUUGAAUUACUGGGGCAAUAUUGUAUCAUUGAAAUGAACAUUGUACAUCUUGUGAAAGAUAUUGCAAAGUUUUUUAUAAUUAUUUAAAUAAUGUAUGUAUGCUGAAUGUAUUCCUUGCAUAACUCAUGAAUAAAUGAUAGGCUAUUUUCAAACUGAAUACUUGUUUCCUAUUAUUUACACUCCUGGAACCAUCACACAUU